CAGCAGCCGCGGUAAUACGUAGGUCCCGAGCGUUGUCCGGAUUUAUUGGGCGUAAAGGGAGCGCAGGCGGUUUAGUAAGUCUGAAGUUAAAGGCAUUGGCUCAACCAAUGUAUGCUUUGGAAACUGUUAGACUUGAGUGCAGAAGGGGAGAGUGGAAUUCCAUGUGUAGCGGUGAAAUGCGUAGAGAUGUGGAGGAACACCAGUGGCGAAGGCGACUCUCUGGUCUGUAACUGACGCUGAGGAGCGAAAGCGUGGGGAGCGAACAGGAUUAGAUACCCGCGUAGUCCCUGUCUCUUAUACA
rnacentral:rRNA from 1 species